CGCUGGCGGCACGCCUAAUACAUGCAAGUCGAACGAAGUAGCAAUACUUAGUGGCAGACGGGUGAGUAACAUGUAGGUAUCUUCCCUUUGGUGAGGAAUAACACGAGGAAACUUGUGCUAAUACCUCAUAAGUCUUUACGGAGAAAGCUUUAUGCGCCAUUGGAUGAGCCUGCACUUGAUUAGUUUGUUGGUGGGGUAAUGGCCUACCAAGACAAUGAUCAAUAGCUGAUUUGAGAGGAUGAUCAGCCACAUUGGGACUGAGACACGGCCCAAACUCCUACGGGAGGCAGCAGUAGGGAAUCUUGCACAAUGGAGGAAACUCUGAUGCAGCGAUGCCGCGUGAGUGAAGAAGGCCCUUGGGUUGUAAAGCUCUUUCGUCGGGGAAGAAAAUGACUGUACCCGAAUAAGAAGGUCCGGCUAACUUCGUGCCAGCAGCCGCGGUAAUACGAAGGGACCUAGCGUAGUUCGGAAUUACUGGGCUUAAAGAGUUCGUAGGUGGUUAAAAAAGUUGGUGGUGAAAUCCCAGAGCUUAACUCUGGAACUGCCAUCAAAACUUUUUAGCUAGAGUAUGAUAGAGGAAAGCAGAAUUUCUAGUGUAGAGGUGAAAUUCGUAGAUAUUAGAAAGAAUACCAAUUGCGAAGGCAGCUUUCUGGAUCAUUACUGACACUGAGGAACGAAAGCAUGGGUAGCGAAGAGGAUUAGAUACCCUCGUAGUCCAUGCCGUAAACGAUGUGUGUUAGACGUUGGAAAUUUAUUUUCAGUGUCGCAGUGAAAACAAUAAACACACCGCCUGGGGAGUACGACCG
rnacentral:rRNA from 1 species